GACGAACGCUGGCGGCGUGCUUAACACAUGCAAGUCGUACGGUAAGGCCCUUUCGGGGGUACACGAGCGGCGAACGGGUGGGUAACACGCGAGUAACUUGCCCACCAUUUUGGUAUAACUCAAGGCAACUGGCGCUAAUACUUGAUGGGUGCCCCCGCCGCAUGGAGGGGGGUGGAAAGAUCCGGUGGUUUGGGAUGGACUCGCGGCCUAUCUGCUUGUUUGUGGGGUAGUGGGCUACCUAGGCGGGGAUGGGUAGGCGGCCCGGGAGGGUGAGCGGCCACAAUGGGGCUGGGAUACGGCCCAGACUCCUACGGGGGGCAGCAGGUGGGAAUAUUGCACAAUGGGCGCAAGCCUGAUGCAGCAACGCCGCGUGCGGGAUGACGGCCUUCGGGUUGUAAACCGCUUUCAGCAGGGACGAAGGUUUUAGUGACGGUACCUGCAGAAGAAGCACCGGCUAACUACGUG
rnacentral:rRNA from 1 species